UGUUUGGUCGGAGGGAUAAGGAGAGAAUAAAGAAUUUAUUCCUCUUAUUCUUCCAAACGCUGCCAUUAAAAUUUUUUAUUCUCUUCUUAACGAGUAAUUCCAGAAUAAUUCGUUAAAAAGAGAGAAUAGUAGUUCCAACCUUUAGAUAGAAUUAAUAAGACAUUUUCUAUCUUAUCCCUCUACUGAUUAAGUUAUAAAUAAUAUAAAAUAUUAUUAAUUAAUGCAAUUAACUUUUUAAUAAUUAACUAAUUAAUUAUUUGACUUGUCAAAUUAAUAAGUAUUUAAAUAGUAAUUAAUUUUUAUUUAUAACUAAUUAGUUAAUUAAAUAAUUAAAAUUGAUUCUUCAUCAUCUCAGAUAAUAUUCCUAAUUAAUUAAUUUAUUAAUUUGCUAAAAUAUUAUUUUAGGAAUAUUUAAAUGCUUAUUAUUUAUGCAAAUUAUUUUUUUUUCUCAUUCAUAAUCACUUUUAUUCCUACUAUUCCAACGCAAUCAUCCAAACGUAAUUAUUCUUUUCCCUCACAAUAUUUCGAUUCUCAUCCAAAUGCAAAAUUAAUCUGUAUAGUCUUUUUUACAAAAUUGAAAGAUAUGUAUCGUUUACUAUGCUUUCGAAAGUACAGAGGCCGCCACACUUUCAAAUUAUUUUCGAAAGCAAAAGAGACAAAAUAUAUAUAUAUAUAUAUAUAUAUAUAGAGAGAGAG
rnacentral:lncRNA from 1 species